UUUGUUGUAGUCUAGUUGGUUAGGAUACUUGACUCUCACUUGAGAGACCAGGGUUCAAUUCUCGGCAACAGAA
rnacentral:tRNA from 1 species